AUUGAACGCUGGCGGCAGGCUUAACACAUGCAGGUCGAGCGGAGAUGAGGUGCUUGCACCUUAUCUUAGCGGCGGACGGGUGAGUAAUGCUUAGGAAUCUGCCUAUUAGUGGGGGACAACAUUCCGAAAGGAAUGCUAAUACCGCAUACGUCCUACGGGAGAAAGCAGGGGAUCUUCGGACCUUGCGCUAAUAGAUGAGCCUAAGUCGGAUUAGCUAGUUGGUGGGGUAAAGGCCUACCAAGGCGACGAUCUGUAGCGGGUCUGAGAGGAUGAUCCGCCACACUGGGACUGAGACACGGCCCAGACUCCUACGGGAGGCAGCAGUGGGGAAUAUUGGACAAUGGGGGGAACCCUGAUCCAGCCAUGCCGCGUGUGUGAAGAAGGCCUUAUGGUUGUAAAGUACUUUAAGCGAGGAGGAGGCUACUGAGACUAAUACUCUUGGAUAGUGGACGUUACUCGCAGAAUAAGCACCGGCUAACUCUGUGCCAGCAGCCGCCGUAAGAC
rnacentral:rRNA from 1 species